UGCCUACGGGACGCAGCAGUGAGGGAUAUUGGUCAAUGGGGGAAACCCUGAACCAGCAACGCCGCGUGAGGGAAGACGGUUUUCGGAUUGUAAACCUCUGUCCCCGGUGAAGAUGAUGACGGUAGCAGAGGAGGAAGCUCCGGCUAACUACGUGCCAGCAGCCGCGGUAAUACGUAGGGAGCAAGCGUUGUCCGGAUUUACUGGGUGUAAAGGGAGAGUAGGCGGCUAUGCAAGUCAGAAGUGAAAUCCAUGGGCUUAACCCAUGAACUGCUUUUGAAACUGCAGAGCUUGAGUGGAGUAGAGGG
rnacentral:rRNA from 1 species